AUGCCGCCACCACCACGUGAUGUUUGCAAACAACUAUUGUGACCUCUGAACUCGUGUAACGUUUACCAUGAAAAUGUAGUUCCAAAAUGGAUAGCCCAUUUUGUUUAUAGUAAACACUCAUCUGAAGCGCAAAACAUCUAAUUGUAAUAUAUUUGCAUACACUAACCUAGAGAAUUACUAUUUAUAGUCAAAUCAUAAAAUUAAAGGAGUAUAUUUUACUACGCGGUGUACUGCAGUGUUCCUGCGCGGAGACUAAGCACCCACAAGAAGCACAGGUUCAUUCAUUCGUCGUCACUGUAGCUUGCAUUAAAAGAGAAAUAGGAAAAGGUGAUUAUUUUGAAUGACAGCGGAUAAUAUCAGAGUUACAGGACGCUGCAACCGGACCACGUUUUAAAGGAAACAACGCACGUAUGAGAAGCCUUCCUGUCAGAUGGCGGGAGAAGCGACCCCCAUAGUACAGGAGACACGUUCAGAUGCGGAAGGCCGUUUGUGUGUCAGCAGUGCAAGGACACCUGGCAUGAUGGAAGAUCAUUUCAAGAAGGCACACACAGAGAUGAGCCAAACUCGCCAUAUACCCCCGGACCAGAACAUCCAGCACCCAAAAGAUAUUGAGGGAACCUUUGCUAUACUGUCGAGUGACCAGCCAAGACACCAACCAUACAUGUUCAGGUCCUACUUCAUUGUUCUAUCAAAGGCCUACACUGAGGCCCAUAUGGCCAUGACAGAGGAAGGGGACUAUCGACAAGAAGAAGCGGUUAUUGCUUCCCCAAAGGAAGAAGACGUCAAUACGUUUUCCAUUUCCAUAUCCGGGUCACUAUUGCCAGACAAGAACAAGGAAUAUCUUAACUUUGUAUUCAUCCCUCCUGUUCCACAGCGCUUCGACAGUGGACUGAGGGCACGUGGUAGAAAAUAAGUACCAUAUUUGGAAGAAAACAAAGGAUUAUGUACAGACUAUAUGUCGAAAAUAUUCAUCAUUAUUUAAAAAGUUGAAAUAUAUUAUUUUAGCCUAUUAAACACAUAUAUUAGCAGUGCAAACUAUUUGCAUAAUGGGUGUACAUAUUUUAACAGUGUCCAUUACAGCGACUUGUGAAAACAGAUAAAAUACUAACGUGUUAUUAUCAUUAUUAUUAUUAUUUGGGUCAAAAUCUGGUAUGCAUGUAACCAGACAUUUACUAACAACACCAAAACCGAUAGAUUUAAUUUGAAAUUUGAUUUGCUUAGACAUUGUUUAAAACCACCAAAAUAUUAUGUGGGUAAACUUCAAACAUUAGACGUCAGUACAUCUGUUAUCUUUGGGGAUAAAUAGAGAGGAGGUUAGUGUUUCAAAAUAUAAUAAAUACGAAGGUGAUCACUGUUUGCCUUGGAACACAUUAUAGCAAUGGUAGACUCUAGACAGCUUACCUGUGGGUCCCCAAGGCGACUGAGGUUGGGGGUGAUGAAGUAGGUGAUGCCCUCCUUGGCUCCGGGGAGGAGAGAUCCUCUGACCAGUAAGAUAGCCAUGAUUAUGUAAGGCAUGGUUGCUGUGACCCACACCACCUGGGGAAGACAUACAGCAACAAGACCUCUGAAGUAUAGAUAAUGUAGAGAAAAUAUCAUUGUUUCACUGAGAUGUUUUGUUUUUCAUCACCCCUCCUAUGUUCAUGUAUAUAUGUGUACAUGAUGUACAUGACUCUGUACAUAUGUAUAUAUCUAUAUGUAUUUUAUGCCUUAUAAUCUGGGUGCCGUUCUACAAAACAACCUUAGCGCUAAGACUUCCUUAUGUAUAUGUUAAGGUAUGGGAGUUAUGGUCACCUUAGCGGUAAGAUCGCUUUGUACAGGGACUCCCCGGAAACUAUAAGAUCUUGAGUAGCACUGGUAUUCAGUACCAAUGCCUCAUACAGCAGGAAUACUGCUGGCUGUUAAAUGGCAAGCUCGUAAUGUCGGACGGGUCUUCCAGUAAAUGAUACUUUUACAGGUGCUUCCGUCGAUGUUUUCAUAUUGCCAAGACAAAACCAUUCCAAAUAUGAACGAAUACAAAGGACGAAUACACUUCAUUAAAAGCAGACAAAUACAUGGGUACAGCUUGCGUACCAUCACUACCAUAAUGAUGUUGGUUGUAAUACCGGAUGUAUACCUUAAACGUGAGUGUUAGUCAAACAUACUUAAGAGGUCGACAAACUUAUAACAUAAAUAACAUCGUGGAACGAUUAUUGUUUUUUGCAUCCCUUUAAUAGCCGUGAAAGAUUAUUUAUAUCAUUAUUCACGCUAUGUGAUUAGAUACCAAAUCAGACCCUAUUUUUGUAGUCCAAUAUAAGAUAUUUACAUAUUUAAAAUUACAUAUUACAUGUUUAAAUGAUUGCUUUAAUGUACUGAACGUGGCUGUCAAAACGUUAUAGAUCAUUAUGUAAAACCUUCGAUUUACAAACGAUAUAUAUGUUUAACAGUGCAGAAGUUUGAUGUACAUGUGAACAAUGGCAGUGCCAGUCGCGUGAAACAUAUAUAGUAUAAUCAUCUGGUUGUCAGAGAGUAGGAAAGUCACAAUCAUACUUUCAGUCGUCUGCUGACAGACCAUGUAAGACUGGCAUAUGCUGUCUUUAUAUUUCUAUUCUUAACUAAAUUCUACAAAUGAAAACUUUGGUGUUCAGUAGGUAUUACACUCUUUUACUUUUGCCUUAUAUUUAUGUAACCUACCACAUUUGCCUUAUAUUUAUGUAACCUACCACUUUUGCCUUAUAUUUAUGUAACCUACCACAUUUGCCUUAUAUUUAUGUAACCUACCACAUUUGUAAACAUAUUGUGUUCUUUCUUUGCUUGUAUAUGCAUAUUUCAAUCGUAUUUAUGAAACAGGUGAGAAUGUAGCAGUGUUCAUCACAAACUCCAUGUGCUGAAGGCAGUGCCUUUCUUGAGUGUACAAAUAGGUAUACACCGAUCUUAAUGCUUACUUACGUAUAUAUACUUUUACAUUUGUUAAAAUAUAUUGGUUGACACCGUUACUAUGUUGAAAAAUGUAUAUGAAGAUACUUAGCAUCAAUUUCAUUGCUACAUACAUAUUCAUGGUUUAUGAUGUAUACGUCAUCGAAUGAUGUUAAAAUGUGUGGAUGUUUAUACAUCGUAUUCCUUCUGAGUGGAAAUUGCUAGGUAAUGGAAGCUGCUGUCCUAUACGUGGAUGUGAUGAACGGUAAAACACAUGAAACAAGCAAAACUAUUGAUCAACUACUGACAACCAUUGGUAUGUUAUCAAAAUGUCUUUCAUAACUGAAGAACCAAGUCUGCAUAUAAAGGCGACACAUCCCUGCUAAUAGCAGUGUUGACUUUACCAUUCCCAAGUUGUCAUGAACAUGUGUAUAUGAACCUCUAUCACUACUUUUCAUUGAUCUAUUCGCUUGAUUUUCACCACUUUCUUGUCUAGGCCUUUUGGAAUCUGUUUCGACAGAGCGACUGUAUCUGCUCUUUAUUUACACUUUUUUUGCAAUACUACAUGUCCCCUUACUCAAGACAGAUUUAACGUUUAUUUUAAUGUGAAAUUUCCAUUUUAAUAAUCCCAAGUCGGUAGGUAGCGUAUUAGUUCGGGUUUAAGGCUAAUAAAGUACAAAGAAUGUGAUUCUUAAAUAUGUUAUAUAUUAUUAUAUUGGGAAGUAAAUAGACGUGUUCUUCUAUGCUUUAUCUUACUUACUUGCUUGUUCAAUAAAGAAAAUCUUAUAAUUU